AUGCGUAUCUCUCGAGAUGUGACUUUUGAUGAGUCUCGUCCUUUUUACCCACGCCCAUCUUCCUCGGUCUUUUCCGUGGAGGAUAUCUCUUUUCUCACUUUUCCUGACUCCCCUAUCACUCCCGUUGCGCCUGUGCCUAUUCCUCCCACUCCCUCUGCUUCUCCACCCCUUGUCGAUUCACCGCCACCAUCUUCCCCGGUCUCCUCAUCUAGCAUGUCACCGGAUUCUACACCUUCAUCUCCGGUGACUUCUUCGUCGCCACCCCCUGAUUCUACCUUGGCUAGUCCUCCUUCUCUUGUUCCAUCUCUUCCUCAGCAUUACACUCGUCGUUCACGGCCUGUGGAUGCUUCCUUGGCUGAGUCGUCCUCUUCCUCUCAGCCUACUUAUGGCUUGCGUUCUCGUCCUCGUCCGCCUAUUGAUCGCUUUGGAUUUCCCACCGCUGGUGCUGCUGUUCUUGAGCCGACUUCUUACCAUCAGGCUGUUGUUCAUCCUGAAUGGCAGUUUGCGAUGGCAGAGGAGAUUGCUGCUCUUGAACGCACUGGUACCUAG
rnacentral:rRNA from 1 species